rnacentral:rRNA from 1 species
UCCCGCAACGAGCGCAACCCUCAUCCUUAGUUGCUAUCAGGUAAUGCUGAGUACUUUAAGGAAACUGCCAGUGAUAAGCUGGAGGAAGGUGGGGAUGAUGUCAAGUCAUCAUGGCCUUUAUGGAGUGGGCUACACACGUGCUACAAUGGUGUCUACAAUGGGUUGCAAGGUGCGCAAGCCUAAGCUAAUCCCUAAAAGACAUCUCAGUUCGGAUUGUACUCUGCAACUCGAGUACAUGAAGUUGGAAUCGCUAGUAAUCGUGGAUCAGCAUGCCACGGUGAAUACGUUCUCGGGUCUUGUACACACUGCCCGUCACGCCAUGGGAAUUGG